rnacentral:rRNA from 1 species
AUUGAACGCUGGCGGCAUGCCUUACACAUGCAAGUCGAACGGCAGCACGGGUGCUUGCACCUGGUGGCGAGUGGCGAACGGGUGAGUGAUACAUCGGAACGUACCUUAUCGUGGGGGAUAACGCAGCGAAAGCUGUGCUAAUACCGCAUACGCCCUGAGGGGGAAAGCGGGGGAUCGCAAGACCUCGCGCGAUUAGAGCGGCCGAUGCCUGAUUAGCUUGUUGGUGGGGUAAAAGCCCACCAAGGAGACGAUCAGUAGCUGGUCUGAGAGGACGAUCAGCCACACUGGGACUGAGACACGGCCCAGACUCCUACGGGAGGCAGCAGUGGGGAAUUUUGGACAAUGGGGGCAACCCUGAUCCAGCAAUGCCGCGUGAGUGAAGAAGGCCUUCGGGUUGUAAAGCUCUUUUGUCAGGGAAGAAACAGCAGCUCUAACACAGUCUGCGAAUGACGGUACCUGAAGAAUAAGCACCGGCUAACUACGUGCCAGCAGCCGCGGUAA